rnacentral:rRNA from 1 species
UACGUAGGUGGCAAGCGUUGUCCGGAAUUAUUGGGCGUAAAGCGCGCGCAGGCGGUUCUUUAAGUCUGAUGUGAAAUCUUGCGGCUCAACCGUGAGCGGUCAUUGGAAACUGGAGAACUUGAGUGCAGAAGAGAAGAGCGGAAUUCCACGUGUAGCGGUGAAAUGCGUAGAGAUGUGGAGGAACACCAGUGGCGAAGGCGGCUCUUUGGUCUGUAACUGACGCUGAGGCGCGAAAGCGUGGGGAGCGAAC